CUGGACGGGGCAGGAGCGACGGGGGGAGUGAGGAGGGGGCCUGGACCGGGCAGGAGCGACGGGGGGAGUGAGGAGGGGGCCUGGACGGGGCAGGAGCGACGGGGGGAGUGAGGAGGGGGCCUGGACGGGGCAGGAGCGACGGGGGGAGUGAGGAGGGGGCCUGGACGGGGCAGGAGCGACGGGGGGAGUGAGGAGGGGGCCUGGACGGGGCUGGAGCGAUGGGGAAGAGAGUGCGGUGGGGUCCCUUGGUUCCCGUCCCCAGGAAGCCGGCGAGAUGGAACUGGCAUCUAUCGGGCCCUGACCGUGCUGGGGGCUGCACCGGCUCGGAAAGAAACCGAUCAGUGCAGGCACCAGUGCUUGACGGUCAGCUUGGGCCUGGGAUCCUGACCCUGCACCCGGGCUCUGAGAGGGAGAACUGUGGCGUUUGCUCAGCCAAGCCCGGACAGCUUAGCCGCCAGCCCCCUCCACCUUCCCGCAGCCCUUCUCUUCCCCAGAGGUCAGAAGCCAGGCAGGAAGACCUAAGAGGGGCUAUCUGUUGAGGCCCCAGGGAGGGAGGAAGCCUGUCCCUGCCCUGAGGGCCUGACCCCAGGCUAGGUCUCAAGAGAGGCUGGAAGCCAGAGGCCUGAGGCCAGUCCCGUUGCUGACGCGGAUGUGGUCCAGCUGGGGCCCUGACAGGUGUGGCCACUGGUGAGGCCAGAGGUAACCGGGCUGGGAGGGGGGUGCAUCUUCAAGCCACACCUCCCCAGACCAGCCUCCCUCCCUCCCCAUCCAUGCUUGUGUGGGGUCCUUGUGGGCAACUGUCACCCUUUCCCACCCCCACUGUCCUGGGAGGACUGGAGGAUGGGGUUGGGUGGUGACGCCAGCUUCAAGAAGCAGCAGUUAGUCGCUGGUCUGUGCUGCCAGGACCCCGGGCCACGGGCCUUCCUGCUCCCGCCACUCCUCCCACCGCCUGAACUUGUGCUGAGAUCCUGCACCCAACCAGCUGAUGCCUGAGCGGGAAAGGAUUCUAGGGCCAGAUCCGUGCUGGCCUGGCCAAGACUCUUGGAACCACCCUGCUGUCCCGGGCUGUCUCUGCUGGAGCCUCUUUGCUCCCGCCCCCUUUGCAAGUGUCUGACCCGCAUCCCACUACUCCCGCUCCUCGUCCCUCUGCCUCUCCAAGAGCUGUGCUCCCACGGCCUUCCCUCUGGCCUCACAGCCACCACCACGUCCCCCCUCCUCACGUCCAGGUCAGCCCUCAAGGGAAUCUGAACUCCUCCACGACCAGAAGCCACACAGAACUAGCUCAAAGGUCCCCUUCCCAGGACACCGACUCCCAGAGGACCCAGACCCAGACCUUUCAGCCCAAGGAAUGGGAUGAUGUCAGGGGUUCCAGGUGGAGACGAGGACUCCCAGGCCCAGACUCAUGCCUUGCCCAGCCCCAGGAGACGGAGUUUCAGAAGCAUACCUGGGACAAGUCUAAAAAUCAGAUGGGGACUUUAUUGUGAUGGUGGCAGGUCCACCAGCAGAUGCAAAUGUGGGGUGCUGAGAGUGGCAACACAGGCCACCCCAAACCAACUUCACUCCCUCCCCUGUCCUCAGCCAGUACAGAAGCCAAAUGUAGCCCCAGCCCUAGACUCCAGCCCAGGCAGAGUCCAAGGGAGGGGUGUCAGGGGGUGCAGCCCCAGGUGGCCCAAAGCAACACAGAGGAGCAAGGGC
rnacentral:lncRNA from 10 species